AAAUUGAAGAGUUUGAUCAUGGCUCAGAUUGAACGCUGGCGGCAGGCUUAACACAUGCAAGUCGAACGGUAACAGGAAGAAGCUUGCUUCUU
rnacentral:rRNA from 1 species